rnacentral:lncRNA from 1 species
GAGCACUACGGAUUCUUGAUCCGGGAGAAGGGACAAACGUAUUUGCAGCGCUUUCUCCAAGAUUCUCAGCUGGAGUCCAACAAGUCCACUUCAUCCCAAAAGGACUCUAACUAAUUUCCACCAACGCCUUUCGCCAAGAUCCUGUGCUCCAUCACUGGGCUGAAAAAUAACCUGCUUAGGGAAAUUCCGGCCCCCGAAAGUUUAAACGAAGCGAAUCGUGAUGUCAGCAGAGGCUGACCCUGCCGAUGGAACCCGAUAGAUGGAUAUGUACCUUCAGUAAAAUCUCAUGAUUCACUUACUCGUAGUAUUACCGUGUUAAAACGUAAAGAUCUCUUGUCGAAGAUCAGAGGAUCGUCUGAGUAUGUAUGGAGUAUCUAGAUGUACCUAUGUACAUUACAAAGGAGUUGACGGACGCUUCAAGAAUCCAUCCCACAAAUCUGGCAUACACCGCUAAUCGGCCCGAGUGUUUGCUAGAAUUCCAGGAUGUUCGGGUCGGUCACGGUUUGACCGUGCGAGCCCGUCUAUGUAGCGGCAAGAACUCUGGAGCAGUUAGGAUUUGUGUCUGGUCAGUUAAGUUAGAUUCUUAAUGCCACGUCAACACCCUUCAUCGAAACGACUUAUCACUAGUUCAGCGGCCCGAAAACAGCCGAGACUGCAUAUAGCAUCAAAUUAUACCUUGGACAGUGUCUAAAUCAUCCUGUAAUGUUGUUUUAGCACUUCGGGUUCAACCAUUCAUCCCCGCAUUCAUGAAGAUCAUGGCAUAGUCAAUGAUAAUUCCCGCGCUGGCGAAUCAUGUCUCCGUUGGUGCUCGUUGAUCUUCUGCACGUGGGUGGAGGAAAUUAAGACGAUCAAGCAAAGUCAAUAAGUUAUUCAACUAUCCGUUAUUGGCAGUGUACAAAAGUCCGUGCCUCGAUAGAGUUGACAUGGUACCAUUGACGACCUGAUCAAUCACAUGAUCAUCAAGUGUCUUGCUCCUGAAUGACUCAACACAGAGCACUGCAUGUGCAAGCUUUUGGCUGCCUAGAGUUAGGGUGCAAUGCAAAACCCCCGAAAUCUAUACGUUUCAUCAAGAUGUGUAUAGUAGAAAAUGGACUUUCCGGAUUCUACCCAAGUGCCUGGUUUGAGUUUGCCUGAAUUCCCUG